rnacentral:misc_RNA from 1 species
GAUCAGUUGGAGUUGCUCCA